rnacentral:rRNA from 1 species
CCUACGGGAGACAGCAGUGAGGAAUAUUGGUCAAUGGCCGGAAGGCUGAACCAGCCAUGCCGCGUGAAGGUCAGUGCCCUAUGGGCGUUAAACUUCUUUUGUGCGGGAGCAAUAAUGGUCACGUGUGGCCAGACGAGAGUACCGUACGAAUAAGCAUCGGCUCACUCCGUGCCAGCAGCCGCGGUAAUACUGGGGAUGCAAGCGUUAUCCGGAUUUAUUGGGUUUAAAGGGUGCGUAGGCUGUGAGGUAAGUCAGCGGUGAAAUGCCCCCGCUCAACGGGGUGAAGUGCCAUUGAUACUGCCUGGCUGGAAGGCGGAUGCCGUGGGAGGAAUGUGUGGUGUAGCGGUGAAAUGCAUAGAUAUCACACAGAACACCGAUUGCGAAGGCAUCUCACGAAGCCGCGAUUGACGCUGAUGCACGAAAGCGUGGGUAUCAAACAGGAUUAGAUACCCUGGUAGUC